GAAGGCGGCUUACUUGACUGUUAACUGACGUUGAGGCUUCGAGAGCGUGGGGAGCAAACAGGAUUAGAUACCCUGGUAGUUCACGCCGUAAACGAUGAUUACUAGGUGUCGGUGGGUAUGAACCCAUCCGGUGCCGCAGCAAACGCAGUAAGUAAUCCACCUGGGGAGUACGUUCGCAAGAAUGAAACUCAAAAGAAUUGACGGGGACCCCGCACAAGCGGUGGAGCACGUGGUUUAAUCUGAAGCAACGCGAAGAACCUUACCAAGUCUUGACAUCUGGAUGACAGGGACGUAACGGUCCCCUUACUUCGGUACAUCCAAGACAGGUGGUGCAUGGUUGUCGUCAGCUCGUGUCGUGAGAUGUUGGGUUAAGUCCCGCAACGAGCGCAACCCUUAUCCUUAGUAGCCAGCGGGCAGGGCCGGGCACUCUAGGGAGACUGCCGGGGAUAACCCGGAGGAAGGUGGGGAUGACGUCAAAUCAUCAUGCCCCUUAUGAUUUGGGCUACACACGUGCUACAAUGGCGUAAACAGAGGGAAGCGAACCCGCGAGGGGGAGCAAAUCCCAAAAAUAACGUCCCAGUUCGGAUUGUAGCCUGCAACCCGGCUACAUGAAGCUGGAAUCGCUAGUAAUCGCGGAUCAGAAUGCCGCGGUGAAUACGUUCCCGGGUCUUGUACUCACCGCCCGUCA
rnacentral:rRNA from 1 species